rnacentral:rRNA from 1 species
AGUGAACGCUGGCGGUAGGCCUAACACAUGCAAGUCGAACGGCAGCACAGUAAGAGCUUGCUCUUACGGGUGGCGAGUGGCGGACGGGUGCGGAAUACAUCGGAAUCUACUUUUUCGUGGGGGAUAACGUAGGGAAACUUACGCUAAUACCGCAUACGACCUACGGGUGAAAGCAGGGGAUCUUCGGACCUUGCGCGAUUGAAUGAGCCGAUGUCGGAUUAGCUCGUUAGCGGGGUAAAGGCCCACCAAGGCGACGCUCCGUAGCUGGUCUGAGAGGAGGUUCGGCUAGAGUGGAUGGGAGACAGGAUCCAGACACCUGCAGGAGGCGGCAGUGGGGAAUCUUGGAGAAGGGGGGAAAGCCGGAUCCUGCCAAACGGGGUAGGGGAAGAUCGACUUCGGGUUCGAGAGUCAUUUAGUUGUUAAGGAAGAAAAGCAGUUUUACCCCCCGUUGUACUGACGGUACCGAAAGAAUAAGCCCCGGCUAACUCCGUG